UACGUAGGGCGCAAGCGUUAUCCGGAAUUAUUGGGCGUAAAGGGCUCGUAGGCGGUUUGUCACGUCGGGAGUGAAAACUCGGGGCUUAACCCCGAGCCUGCUUCCGAUACGGGCAGACUAGAGGUAUGCAGGGGAGAACGGAAUUCCUGGUGUAGCGGUGAAAUGCGCAGAUAUCAGGAGGAACACCGGUGGCGAAGGCGGUUCUCUGGGCAUUACCUGACGCUGAGGAGCGAAAGUGUGGGGAGCGAACAGG
rnacentral:rRNA from 1 species